GGAUAGGAGCGCCUACCGCAUGGUGGGUGUUGGAAAGAUUUAUCGGUUUUGGAUGGACUCGCGGCCUAUCAGCUUGUUGGUGAGGUAAUGGCUCACCAAGGCGACGACGGGUAGCCGGCCUGAGAGGGUGACCGGCCACACUGGGACUGAGACACGGCCCAGACUCCUACGGGAGGCAGCAGUGGGGAAUAUUGCACAAUGGGCGCAAGCCUGAUGCAGCGACGCCGCGUGAGGGAUGACGGCCUUCGGGUUGUAAACCUCUUUCAGUAGGGAAGAAGCGAAAGUGACGGUACCUGCAGAAAAACCACCGGCUAACUACGUGCCGGCAGCCGCGGUAAUACGUAGGGUGCAAGCGUUAUCCGGAAUUAUUGGGCGUAAAGAGCUCGUAGGCGGUUUGUCGCGUCUGUCGUGAAAGUCCGGGGCUUAACCCCGGAUCUGCGGUGGGUACGGGCAGACUAAAGUGCAGUAGGGGAGACUGGAAUUCCUGGUGUACCGGUGGAAUGCGCAGAUAUCAGGAGGAACACCGAUGGCGAAGGCAGGUCUCUGGGCUGUAACUGACGCUGAGGAGCGAAAGCAUGGGGAGCGAACAGGAUUAUAUACCCUGGUAGUCCAUGCCGUAAACGUUGGGCACUAGGUGUGGGGACCAUUCCACGGUUUCCGCGCCGCAGCUAACGCAUUAAGUGCCCCGCCUGGUUAGUACGGCCGCAAGGCUAAAACUCAAAGG
rnacentral:rRNA from 1 species